rnacentral:rRNA from 1 species
AGCAGCCGCGGUAAUUCCAGCUCCAAUAGCGUAUAUUAAAGUUGUUGCAGUUAAAAAGCUCGUAGUUGAACUUCGGGGUUCACCCAUUGGUCAGGCUUAAUUGUCUGUACUGGUGAGAUGAAUCUCUACCUUCUGAGGAACUUUCAUGCCAUUUAUUUGGUGUGAUGGGAAAUCAGGACUGUUACUUUGAAAAAUUAGAGUAGUUUAAAGCAGGCUAACGUCUGAAUACAUUAGCAUGGAAUAAUGAAAUAGGACGGAUUGAUUCUAUUUCGUUGGUUUCUAGGGUCACCGUAAUGAUUAAUAGGGAUAGUUGGGGGCAUUAGUAUUCAAUUGUCAGAGGUGGAAUUCUUGGAUUUAUUGAAGACUAACUACUGCGAAAGCAUUUGCCAAGGAUGUUUUCAUUAAUCAAGAACGAAGUUAGGGAUCGAAGACGAUCAGAUACCGUCGUAGUCU